rnacentral:tRNA from 1 species
GGAGGCUUCGCCUAGUCUGGUCUAUGGCGCCCGCCUGCUAAGCGGGUUUCGGGCUACAACCCGAUCCGGGGUUCAAAUCCCCGAGCCUCCGC